rnacentral:lncRNA from 1 species
UUUCUGUUUGAGUCAAAGACAUUAGCAUUUUUUAGAGCCAGCCAGCCGGAAGUGGGCUCUCCAACCUUCCCUCCACAGCUUCUCUGUGCAUCUCACCGUGGCACCUUCACUUUCUGCCCCUACCAUGUGAUUUUGUAGAUGUGGUGUCCACAGGCUGAGCUUUGGCCUCACCCAGACCUGGGAUUGGGUCCCAGCCACACCAUUUCUAGCCGUGUGAUCUUGGCCUCACGACUUAGCCUCUCUCAGCUUCCCUUUCCUCAUCUAUAAUACUAAUUUGGGGGAAAAUAAUAGCUCUGUACUUUUAUUGGUGGGGCUGUUAGGGAGAUUAGUGAGAUGAUACAUACCAUAGUCCCUUGCAUAAGUUUCAAAUAAUGUUACCUGCCACAGUCCCUUGCAAAAGUGCUAAAGGCAAGUCCCUUGCAAAAGUGCUAAAUAAAUGUUAACUUCCUUUUUUUAAGUUUUUUUUUUUUUUGAGACCAAGUCUCUCUGUCACCCAAGCUGGAGUGCAGUGGCAUGAUAUCGGCUCACUGCAAUCUUCACCUUCCUGGUUUGAAUGAUCUUCCUGCCUCAGCCUCCUGAGUAGCUGGGAUUACAGGCACCUGCCACCACACCCAGCUAAUUUUUGUAUUUUUAGUAGAGACAGGGUUUCACCAUGUUGGCCAGGCUGGUCUCAAAUGUCUGACCUCAGGUGAUCGGCCUGCCUCAGCCUCCCAAAGUGCUGGAAUUACAGGGGUGAGCCACUGUGCCCAGCCAUAAAUGUUAACUUCUAUAAUAUUAUUUUUGUUAUUGUUACUUAUCUCCUUACUUAUGUAUUUUUCAUUAUUCAAGGGCAAGGACCAUUUUUCCCCUUCUCCUCUUACCCUCCUCCUUGUUCUAAAUAGGACUUAUGGCAAAUUUCAGCAAGUUGAUGAGAAAAAUAGAGGGAAAAUGAAGAUAUAAACAUAAAAUGGAGCCAGCAGAGACUAAUACAGAAAGUACAUCCUUACUUUAGUGGGUCACAGGAUUGGCUCUAAGCUUCCUAGCACCCAAUGAGAUGAAAGAAACUGAAUUAGUUACAUAAUGUAACACUGUUGUCCAUGAAAUAAAACAAGCGAAUAGCUCAGGAGAAACACACCUGGGCGACAUUCUUUUUUUCCUUCUCACUUCCUUCUUGACCUUGUGAUUCAUUUUGCUGAAGGGAAGACCAUUUGUUGGAAAGUGUUUCUGAAUGCGAUGGGAGUCCUGGCCCUUGGUAGAGGCCCACCCCUCGCUGUCUUCAGCUGAUCUGUUAGUAAUAGAGAAGAUCUAGUUCCUGGCCCAGAGAACUGAUCCUGCAAUAGGGCUGUGUUUUUGAAACCAAAAGCGUCAUACAGAUAACAAAGGAGAUGUGUCUCACUGUGGUUAGGCUAUUUUGUAGCAACACUUGUUUCCACUCUUUUGCAAUUUCAGGUUCUGUCAGACUUGAUCUAAACAUGAAUGUGCAAGUCCAGUGCUCAGGCUGAUAUAACCACUGUCUGGGCCCUGAGUUGAUUUGAAUUUCCACUUCCAAUCUGUGGUGCAACGUAUGUAACACAGCAAAUCAGGGAUGGAGACUCAAGAAGUUAAAGAAAAUUUACCCAAGGUCACAGAGCUAGAAAGUGGCAGGAGUCCGGCUUCAAAAUUCAGAUGACUACACACCCCAGUUCCCUCUCAGCCAGGCCACCUUCCUUAGAGAACAACCAAACCCACACCAAAAGGUGAACACAAGCUGAAUCACCAGGACUCAUCAGCAGCGAGGCUUCCUUGGUCCUUUCCCUAGAAAUUCAGGCUCCUGUACUGAAAAAAAUGAAGCAGCUGGAAGCAGUCUUGAGCCCAUAAAUCUGUACCCACUGCAGGGGUCCCGAACUUUUUGUGGGGGGCACACCCCUUUGAAAAUCUAAUAAAAUGAUCAACCCUCUCUUGGGGAAAAAAAGCAGACAUCCAAAUUUUGGCUGACAAUUUCAGGGAAAUGAAUGGACUUCCCCAAGCUCAUUCAGGAAGCUCUGGGGGUCACUGGCCUAUGUUAAGCACUGCUGGUCUGUCCAGAAGCCUCUAUGACUGCACCGUUCAGUGCUGCAGCCUCUCAUCACAUGAGGCCCUGAGCUUGUGCAGGGUGGCAAGUGUGAACUGAAAGGUGCUAUAGACAUGGAGUGCACACUGGAUUUUGAAGACUUAAUAGGAAAGAAGAACGUAAAAUAUCUCAUGACUAAUUUUUAUACUAAUUAUAUAUUAAAAGAUAAGUUGGGACUGGGCGCAGUGGCUCAUGCUGGUAAUCUCAGCACUUUGGGAGGCGGAGUGGGCGGAUCACGAGGUCAAGAGCUCAACACCAGCCUGACCAACAUGGUGAAACCCCGUCUCUACUAAAAAUACAAAAAGUAGCCGUGCAUGGUGGCACGUGCCUGUAAUCCCAGCUACUCAGGAGGCUGAGGCAGGAGAAUCGCUUGAACCUGGGAGGUGGAGGAUGCAGUGAGCCGAGAUCGCACCACUGCUCUCCAGCCUGGGUGACAGAGCGAGACUUGGUCUCGAAAAAAAAAGAGAAAAAGAUAAGUUGGAUAUUUGGGGUCAAAUAAAAUAUGUUAUUAAAAUUAAUUUCACCUGUUUCUCUUUACUUUUUAAAAGUGUGGCUAGAACAUUUGAAAUGCAGUAUGUGACCGGCAUUAUGUAUGGACUGGUCCCCGCUGCUCUGUGAUGACACCCUGGAGGCAUGGCCUCAUGGCCGGACCUCUAAAGUCAGUGUAGGCCCUUCACGGAAAGCCCAGCACUUCCUCUUUCUGGAAGUUGUAGUUAAGAGAAUGGGCAGGGAAAUCUUC